rnacentral:rRNA from 1 species
AUUGAACGCUGGCGGAAUGCUUUACACAUGCAAGUCGAACGGCAGCACGGGGCAACCUGGUGGCGAGUGGCGAACGGGUGAGUAAUACAUCGGAACGUGCCCAAUCGUGGGGGAUAACGUAGCGAAAGUUACGCUAAUACCGCAUACGAUCUACGGAUGAAAGCGGGGGAUCGCAAGACCUCGCGCGAAUGGAGCGGCCGAUGUCAGAUUAGGUAGUUGGUGGGGUAAAAGGCUCACCAAGCCAACGAUCUGUAGCUGGUCUGAGAGGACGACCAGCCACACUGGAACUGAGACACGGCCCAGACUCCUACGGGAGGCAGCAGUGGGGAAUUUUGGACAAUGGGCGCAAGCCUGAUCCAGCCAUUCCGCGUGCAGGAUGAAGGCC